UACGGAGGGGGCGAGCGUUAUUCGGAAUUAUUGGGCGUAAAGGGCGCGUAGGCGGCUUUGUAAGUCAAAGGUGAAAUCCCUCGGCUCAACUGAGGAACUGCCUUCGAAACUGCAAGGCUUGAGGCCGGGAGGGGGUAGCGGAAUUCCCAGUGUAGCGGUGAAAUGCGUAGAUAUUGGGAGGAACACCAGUGGCGAAGGCGGCUACCUGGACCGGUUCUGACGCUGAGGCGCGAAAGCGUGGGUAGCAAACAGG
rnacentral:rRNA from 1 species